AUGGUUGUCGUCAGCUCGUGUCGUGAGAUGUUGGGUUAAGUCCCGCAACGAGCGCAACCCUCGUUCUGUGUUGCCAGCAUUUAGUUGGGGACUCACAGGAGACUGCCGGGGUUAACUCGGAGGAAGGUGGGGAUGACGUCAAAUCAUCAUGCCCCUUAUGUCUUGGGCUGCACGCAUGCUACAAUGGCUGGUACAAACGGCUGCAAUACCGCAAGGUGGAGCGAAUCCGAGAAAGCCAGUCUCAGUUCGGAUUGGGGUCUGCAACUCGACCCCAUGAAGUCGGAGUUGCUAGUAAUCGUAGAUCAGCAACGCUACGGUGAUACGUUCCCGGGGCUUGUACACACCGCCCGUCACGUCACGGAAGUCGGUAACACCCGAAGUCAGUAGCCCAACCGCAAGGAG
rnacentral:rRNA from 1 species